ensembl:lincRNA
UAAACAGGCACCUCAGCUAGCUGUUUGUCCCAGGUUUGAGCCCCAACAGAUACUAAUAAUGAAGUCAAAGUUCACAUUUUCCUAUUCUGGGCAGAUUUUCUGUUCUGAUUCUGGACAGAAUUCCAUACUUUAUCAUUCUUCACAAUUCACUAAGAUCAUUUUGUUAUUAUCUCUUUGCAGCAAAUGAGAAAACGGAGACAGAGAGGUUGUAUUCCUUGUCCAAAAAGAAACAGUAGGAAGCAGAGCUACUGUGCAAACUCAGUGUAUCGAUCCAUCUUGAGGCCUGAAUUCCACAGCAGACUGCUGAAUGUAUGAAGAUUGCCUAUGUCAUCAUGCUUGUACACAUUCAUGGAAAGAAAGAAUAAAAUACGACUCUGACCUCACUGCAAGCACAAAAUACCACUGGAUGGAUAUUAGCCCAAACAAACAAAAUGGAAAACCAUUAUGUUUCAAGUCUAGAAGAAAGCAGGGGUAUUCACCUUGGAAGCCUUGGGGACACAAAACUCCAAAGCAAAACAGAACAAAGCAACAAACACCAGUUAAGUGAAUUUGGUUAAAUUUAGAAAGUAUAUUGUUGUGGGAUACCUGGGUCUCACUCUGACACACCUGAGAAUGACAAUUAAAGCUUUACUUUGAAUCAAAGGGCACAGCUAGCUACUAGCUGACUAAAAUUAACCAUAAAGGUUUUGGAGGACUAAGGUCAUAUAGAGAGACACAGGAAGUAGUAGGGUGGGGCUUAAAAGAUUCUCAGCCAUUUUGGAUGGAGGACAGAGAGAGGAGGUCACUGAUCACUUCUCUAAUCGAUAUUACCCCUAUAGCUGAGUUUUUAUUGAUAAAGAAAAAUUAGAUAAAUGCUUCAUUUAUCUAAUCAAAGUGGGGCAUGAGAUCAUGAAGCAGCCACUUCCCGCCAGCCAGCUUUGCAGCCACUAGAGUCACCACCAUGGCUGGUUUUCCCUCCCUUUCCUAGGUCCUCCAUAUUUGAAUAGCCUCUCUACAGCAGCCUCCAGCUGCCACCUGUCCUUGGCCCCAAAUGCCACACAUGGCUGGGCCCCAAACACUAUUGGAGCUAGCCACCCACCACUGGCCAGCUCUUUCAUUCAUGCAGGCCUGCCACACAGGCUUCUUCUGCAUGUCCCCCCAUGCGUCUGCUUUUCAGGCAGCUGACUCUCUCUCCCCAUGGAUUAUGGGUUUUCCCUGGACCUCCUCUUCAGUCCACUGCCACACCAGGUUGGCCACCUUCUAGGGUUUUACCAGUGGUGACACUACCACACACUUUCAGCCCCCAGUGACACACGAGCAGCUAUAGCUGCUCUUGGCCAGGCCAUGCACUGCCCACAUUUGCUGCCCAGCUGUGCAGUGUAGUGACAGCCAGCCUCACAUUUGCCAUCAUCAUCAUCAUCAGUACAUCUGGUGAGACACCUGGGAAUUCUUAAGGGGGAAUUAGGUGUUUUUCUGUUGUUGUUUGUUUGUUUGUUUUUUAAGGAGUUUUUACCCACAUUAAAAAAGCAAUAUUAUGCUGCAGGGAUUUAGGUCUCUGUAUGAUUCCACAAUGGAUGGUUUGAAAAUAGAAAAAUUAAAUGAAGGGAUAAUUAACUUAGCUGGCGUUGACUUAAUGUCGAUUAUAAUCAUUAUCAGUUUGGUAAUUCAUGCUUUAUCCUUAAAAAGUGGUUUGAUAUUUGUGCUAAAUAUGAAAAAUUGACUGAUAAGAUAUAAUCCUUAGAAACCCUACUAAUGAAACUAAGAAAAAUAUUCACACAGAGACAGAGUAGUUUAGAGCAGAACUUACUGCACCAUUGCAUGAUGAAACCUCAGUUUAUCCUAUCACCAUUCAAGAACAACCCCCAGAUGACAGGCAUCCCCAAGGCUAUUCAGAAGUUAACUGGGGUCCUGUAGAAAUGUUAUAUUUGAAGAGAUUUAAGGAAGCAGUAGUUUCAGAUGGUGUUCAUUCACCUUUUGUGAAGCAGAUGUUAAAUUCAUGAGCCACUUGGAAAAGAAUUAUUGAAAGGUUCAGGCAUUAUGCUGGCCUGCCCCUGUUACCUGGUGGAAUCCACUCAGGCAAUACCCUGGUCAGCCCAAGGUUCCAUGGGAAAGAAGUCUGUACGCAGGUGCAGAGGACCCCUUUAAAAGAUAGGCCCCUGCCCUCUCUCUCUCUCUCUCCCCCUGUUCCUGCUCUCUGUCCCCUCUCUCUGUUUCCCCGCUCUGUCUCUCUAUGGCGACCGGCCAUGGUGGUCAGCCAUUACCCUGUUCCUCUUCUUAGUCUACCCAUUCUGCCUUAUAAUAAACUUAUAGUCAAUAUGUCCAUCGGCGCCUGG